AUGAACGCUGGCGGCGUGCCUAAUACAUGCAAGUCGAGCGAACAGACGAGGAGCUUGCUCCUCUGAUGUUAGCGGCGGACGGGUGAGUAACACGUGGAUAACCUACCUAUAAGACUGGGAUAACUUCGGGAAACCGGAGCUAAUACCGGAUAAUAUAUUGAACCGCAUGGUUCAAUAGUGAAAGACGGUUUUGCUGUCACUUAUAGAUGGAUCCGCGCCGCAUUAGCUAGUUGGUAAGGUAACGGCUUACCAAGGCAACGAUGCGUAGCCGACCUGAGAGGGUGAUCGGCCACACUGGAACUGAGACACGGUCCAGACUCCUACGGGAGGCAGCAGUAGGGAAUCUUCCGCAAUGGGCGAAAGCUUGACGGAGCAACGCCGCGUGAGUGAUGAAGGUCUUCGGAUCGUAAAACUCUGUUAUUAGGGAAGAACAAAUGUGUAAGUAACUAUGCACGUCUUGACGGUACCUAAUCAGAAAGCCACGGCUAACUACGUG
rnacentral:rRNA from 1 species